AGGUGUGUGGUGGCACAUACCUGUGGUCCCAGUUAUUCAGCAAGCUGAGGCAGGAAGUUCACUUGAGCCCAAAAUUUUGGGCUAGAGUUCACUAUGCUAAUCAGAUGUCCAUCCUAAGUCUGGCACCAAUAUAGUGACCUCAUGUGACCAGGGGUCACCAGGUUGCCUGGGGAGGGGUAAACUGGCCCAAGUUAGAAACAGAGCAUAUUAAAACUCCCAUGAUGAUCAGUAGUGGGAUUGUGUCUCUGAAUGGCCACUGCAGUGCAGCCAGGACAACAUAGUGAGACCCUGUCUUCU
rnacentral:SRP_RNA from 1 species